GACGUAGGGCGCGAGCGUUGUCCGGAUUUAUUGGGCGUAAAGAGCUCGUAGGCGGUUUGUCGCGUCUGCUGUGAAAUCCCGAGGCUCAACCUCGGGCUUGCAGUGGGUACGGGCAGACUAGAGUGCGGUAGGGGAGAUUGGAAUUCCUGGUGUAGCGGUGGAAUGCGCAGAUAUCAGGAGGAACACCGAUGGCGAAGGCAGAUCUCUGGGCCGUAACUGACGCUGAGGAGCGAAAGCAUGGGGAGCGAACAGG
rnacentral:rRNA from 1 species